AACAAAGAUUAGUGGGGAAGUUUAUCUACCUAUCUUUGACUGCCAAGACAUCACCUAUGCAGUUAGGGGGGUGAGCCACUUUAUGCAUUCCCCGAAGAGUGAGCACUUGGAUGUUAUAUACUACAUCCUCAGGUACUUGAAGUCCACUCUAGGGAAAAGACUAUUGUAUGUCAAGCAUAACCAUUUGAGGAUAGAAGGCUACACUGAUGCUGAUUAGGCUGUUUCAGUUUCUGACAGAUGAUCUACAUCUAGAUAUGGUAUAUUUGUGGGUGGUAAGCUGAUUACAUGGAAUAAAAAAGCAGCCAGUUGUAACUCGAUUGGGUGCAUAGGCAGAUAUUAGAGCUAUGGCUCAUGCAGUAUGUGAACUCCUAUGCUUGAGAAGGCUAGUCCAAUGGGGUUUAAUAUCGAGGCACCCAUUCAUCUUUCUUGUGAUAACAAGGCUUCCAUAAGUAUUACCUACAAUCCUAUGCAACAUGAUCAGACGAAGUAUAUAGAGAUGGACAGUCAAUUCAUCAAAGAAACAAUUGAUUCUAGCUAUAUAUGCAGUCCUUUUUUCUAUGAAAGGGUUCCCUCAGCUACUAGUGUAGGAAGGACUCUGCAUGCCCACCAAUUAGUGUCAACAAAAAAUUAUCAUCCAUGUGGGGCCAAUGUUUUCAAAAUAGAUGAAAAAAAAAAAAAGAGAGACAUUUGUGGGGCCCUCACUUUUUGUGAGAGGGCAUGCAAAAGAAUCCACACACAGCUAGUGUGUGGAUCUUUUGUCCUUAUCUAUAAUACCCAUUUGUUACAUUUGUUAUCUUAAUUCAAUAUAUUAAUCAAAGUUCAUGCUUUGGUCUUGACUAAGUGCACAAUUGUCAAAUUCCCAAAACUACUCCAACAUGCAAAUUAUUUUGCUAUGAUCUGAUUCUUUCCUUGUUCUCUUUUGUUUAAUAAACAUUUUGACUUAUCUAUGUUAAAUAUUAGAUGCACAGUGGCGUCUUAGUUCUUGUUAUGUCUGUCUUGAAAUUUUUAUUAGUUUGUCCUUGUAAUUGUCACAAUUUACCCAUUCAGAGAAACCAUGAGCUCUAUUCCCCAUUUCUUUUCUUCUUUUUCUCCUUAUCUCCUCUUUUCUCCUUUUCUUUUUCUCCUUGCGCAGGUACUUCCAAUCAUUUGUGGUGUAUUAAAAAAUAUCAAUAACAUUAUAUAUCCCCAGAGUUCCUAUUUUUUUGGAAUUUGCCGAGUCUGAUGUCAGUGGCCGAUGGCCCCCACUUGCAUCCUAGUAACAUAGCAUUUAACAUGCUAGCUCAAGUAUAGAAGCCAGAAAUUUCCAAAUUGAAUUUAUUAACUUUGGUGAUAUACCCCAAAGAAACUAUGUUCUUCUGGAAAUUGCAGUGUGUAGAUCAGAUAUCAGAAUCAGAACCAAGCAAACUGUCAGAUUAAAUAUGCAGGAAACAGAAUGGGAUGCUGCACGACACCUAUUUGUUCUGUUUUCUCUUCAAGACUUCUGGCACUUUAUUUGUGCCAUUUCUCUUGGCUAUUUCAAUUCUCAACAGCAAUAACUAUUUUUUAUUAGGGGCAUAACCAGAGCACGAGGCUCCCGCCACUGCAGGGUCUGGGGUAAUGUAUGCAGCCUUACCCCUGCUUUGCAGAGAGACUGUUUUUAUACAUGCACCUAAAACAUGAAGCUAAUCAGGCUUCAUUGGAGUGGUUGGUAAACUGGUCCAAAAUAUUUAGGGAGUUUAGAUGGUAUGCUGCUCCUAAUGAUUGAGCUGGUUUAUUGUUUAUUAUAGAAAUCCAGUUCUACUUUUUUACAUGCUUUUCUUUUUGUAGGUUUUGGGGACAGAUUCAGAUUGUUCAGAUAAAGAUGAUCGUGCUGAUUCAGUUGUCGUCGAAUAUGAUGAUUUUAUAAAGGUUUUGGGUGAACUGUCUCCUUCUCUGUCAUCAGCUGAACUUCGAAGAUAUGAAAAGCUACGAGAUCAGUUUGAAGGAGCAUCGAAGUGAACAUCUAGUUUACCAUCAUGUUGAUAACCUAGCAGUCUUUUUCUAUCGAGCAUUCAAUAAAGUUCUAUUAUUUGCCAGUUCUCAGUAGCUACUGGAUCUCAUCCAUCCUUGGAAUGGGGAUGCGAAAACUUGUAGUUUAUAGGGGCACUAGGAGUCCUGUUGAAAGUAGUUAUGUACUUUUAUUAUAUUCGGAAUGGUGCUUUUAAGGAUUAUGAUGAAAAACAAACGAUUGACGUUAGCACAUGAAUGUCGAGAAGCAGGAACAGUGCCAUUUUAAAAACUGAUUGCCUGAUACCACAACUGGUGAAGAUUGCUCGUUGUGUGGAGACGCUGGUUCAGCAGAUGUGUAUGGUAUGACGAGAUUCCUCAAAGCUUAUACAUAUUCUGUAUUCAUUUCAACUGAAACUGUGUGUAAACCAUUUGCUUUUUGUGUACAAAUUAAGGUACAUCAUCAACUCAUUGAGAUUCAGAAUUACAGGCGAUAUACCAGAUAAUAUUGUCUAUAGAGGUCCAAGUGAUACAGAUACUGAGAUAUCCUUGUAUUACAUGCCAUCUUAGCUAAGUAAUGAAUGAUAAACGGCUACUAAGUGUUGAAAUA